UACGUAGGGCGCAAGCGUUGUCCGGAAUUAUUGGGCGUAAAGAGCUCGUAGGCGGUUUGUCGCGUCUGCUGUGAAAACCCGAGGCUCAACCUCGGGCCUGCAGCCGAUACGGGCAGACUAGAGUUCGGCAGGGGAGACUGGAAUUCCUGGUGUAGCGGUGAAAUGCGCAGAUAUCAGGAGGAACACCGGUGGCGAAGGCGGGUCUCUGGGCCGAUACUGACGCUGAGGAGCGAAAGCGUGGGGAGCGAACAGG
rnacentral:rRNA from 1 species